AUGUCGACCACGGCAGUGGUGCCGGCCGGCGACGUGCCGGACCCGACGGUGCGGAACCUCCUGGAGCAGGACACCCUCAAGUGGGUCUUCGUCGGCGGCAAGGGCGGCGUCGGCAAGACCACCUGCAGCUCCAUCGUCUCCAUCCUCCUCGCCUCCGUGCGCCAGUCCGUGCUCGUCAUCUCCACCGACCCCGCCCACAACCUCAGCGACGCCUUCCAGCAGCGCUUCACCAAGUUCCCCACCCUCGUCAAGGGCUUCUCCAACCUCUACGCCAUGGAAAUUGAUCCCAAGGUAGAAAAUGAUGAUUUCGGCAAUGAAGGAAUGGAAGGAUUUAUUUCAGAAUUGACAAAUGCAAUUCCAGGAGUCGAUGAAGCUAUGAGUUUUGCUGAAAUGCUGAAAUUAGUUCAAACAAUGGAUUACUCCGUUGUAGUUUUUGAUACUGCUCCUACAGGGCAUACUUUACGGUUGCUGCAGUUUCCAGCAACACUGGAGAAGGGCCUAGAGAAAAUGAUGGACUUAAAGAAUAGAUACGGUGGUCUGAUAAAUCAGGCCAGUCGACUUUUUGGUCUCGGUGAUGAUUUGAACGAGGAUAUAAUGCUUGGGAGAAUUGAAGGCAUGAAGGACGUAAUCGAGCAAGUGAACAGGCAGUUUAAAGAUCCAGACUUGACAACCUUUGUUUGUGUUUGUAUUCCUGAAUUUCUUUCAUUGUAUGAAACGGAGAGAUUGGUGCAAGAGUUAGCGAAAUUCGAGAUCGAUGCACACAAUAUUAUAAUCAAUCAAGUUAUUUUUGACGAGGAAGCCGUCGAGUCGAAACUGCUAAGAGCGCGGGUAAAGAUGCAACAAAAGUACGUCGAUCAGUUCCAUAUGUUAUACGACGACUUCAACAUCAUCAAGUUGCCCUUGCUCCCAGAGGAGGUAUGUGGUGUGCAAGCUCUGCAGAACUUCUCCAAGCACUUCCUGGCACCGUACAGUGCGGCACUGAAAAGGGGCAGCGUGGAGGAGCUAGAAGAGAGAGUAGGCACACUGAAAUCAGCGCUGCAAGAAGCCGAGUCGGAACUAGAUAGAGUUAGGAAAGGGAAGCAGGUAGCAUGA
rnacentral:rRNA from 1 species